rnacentral:rRNA from 1 species
UACAGAGGUCCCAAGCGUUGUUCGGAUUCACUGGGCGUAAAGGGUGCGUAGGCGGUCGGGUAAGUCUGACGUGAAAUCUUCAAGCUUAACUUGGAAACUGCGUCGGAUACUAUUCGGCUGGAGGAAUGGAGGGGAGACUGGAAUACUUGGUGUAGCAGUGAAAUGCGUAGAUAUCAAGUGGAACACCAGUGGCGAAGGCGAGUCUCUGGACAUUUCCUGGCGCUGAGGCACGAAAGCCAGGGGAGCAAACGGG